AUAGACAAGAAACUACAGAGAGAUGAUCAUACCAUAUUCAAAAUCAUUUAGUUUACUGUGUGAAUUCUCUUUACAUGUAAUCAUCCACUCAUCAUUUCCUGUCCACAUUUCCCCAAUUGAUUUCAAUAUAUCACAAAAGCAUCUCACUUUCUGAAAAAAACAGGGAAACUUUGGUGAGCUCAAUAAGUUGUGAUUUUGCUUAUAAACAACAGUACUGCAUAUAUGCUAAAAGUGCUCAACUUAGGGAGUAAAUUACCUCAUGUAUUGAUGUCCCAUCUAUUUUUGACAACGAAAAAUUCGGAUUGAUCGAAGGGAACAGUUUAUGUAGAUCUCUCAGAGUUGAUAUCAACAGCUGUUGAAAAACAUGGCCAUGACAGAAAAAAAUUCAGAGCCAUCACAAGGUGAAAGAUCAAGCAAGUGUCUCAAUGUGAUGAUCUUGUUUCUUAUACCUGUCAUUAUUCUGAAGUUACUAGCCACCCCACAUGAAUUUUGAAAAGUUGGACUUCUUGUAAUUGCUUUCACCCCAUUUGAACUAUGCAUUCUGGGACUUUUUGGUGCUUUCACCACAUUUGAACUUUGCAAUCUGGGACUUUUUGGUGCUUUCACUCCACAUGCAUUGCGCGAUUUGGAACCUUUGUUUGUUUUUGAUCUUCUUGGUACCAACAUGGAAGGGGAUAUGUCAAAAUUCAACAUGGGCGAGCUAAAAGGGAAGUUCAGUGCACAAAGCUCAUGUUACACGCCAAGGAAGAGCCUGACCACAUCGGAUCUAUUGUACGUAUCUUUUUGAGGUGUCAUUCAUCAAUUUAUAUGUUAAGGGAUGCUUCGUACACAAACCUCUCACUAUGCGCGAGGAAGAGUCUAACCCCGUUGGGUUUAUUGUAGGUAUCAUUCAUCAAUUUAUAAUAUGUUAAGGAAAGGUUGGUGCACAAAGUUUCUAUUAUGCACGAGAAAAAACCUUAGACCACAUUGGGUCUAUUGUAUUCAGGUUUACAUUACAUUUCUAUAAGAAACUAUUUAUUUUUUUAA